CGGGUGAGUAACACGUGAGGAACCUACCUCGAAGACUGGGAUAACAGCGGGAAACCGCUGCUAAUACCGGAUGCCCCCACCGGGUCGCAUGGCUUGGUGAGGAAAGGAUUCUGCUUCGAGAGGGCCUCGCGGGCUAUCAGCUUGUUGGUGGGGUAACGGCCUACCAAGGCGACGACGGCUAGCUGGUCUGAGAGGACGACCAGCCACACUGGGACUGAGACACGGCCCAG
rnacentral:rRNA from 1 species